rnacentral:rRNA from 1 species
CACGGAGUUAGCCGGGGCUUCUUCUCUCGGUACCGUCAGACCUCCGGAUUGUUUAUCCGAUGGCUGUUCGUCUCGAUCGAAAGGAGUUUACGACCCGAAGGUCUUCAUCCUCCACGCGGCGUUGCGUCGUCAGGCCUUGCGCCCAUUGCGAACAAUUCCCCACUGCUGCCUCCCGUAGGAGUCUGGGCCGUGUCUCAGUCCCAGUGUGCCCGUCCGCCCUCUCAGGCCGGAUACUGAUCGUUGCCUUGGUGAGCCAUUACCCCACCAACUAGCUAAUCAGGCGCGGGCCCCUCUUUGAGCGCCAGGCCUUGCGGUCCCCAGCUUUGAUCUCCACCUCUUCAAAGGCAGGAUGUUAUGCGGUAUAGCGUCCUUCGGGACGUUACUCCCCCACUCUAAGGCAGGUCCACCCACGUGUUACCUCUACCCGUUUCGCCUACUCUACCUCCACCCCGUUUUCGGGGCUUUUCGCGUUCGACUUGCAUGUGUUAGCACGCCGCCAGCGUUGAUU